AGCAACAUGGUGAGACUCCUGAGACUCUGUCUCAAAAAAAAAAAACAAAAAAACAAAAGAGAGGCUAGGAUCUGGCAUGAGGCCGACUGAGAUUCACAUAUCCUGGUUCCAGCCUUUUUGUGCAGGUAUGACCCUGGGCAAGUUGUUUAAACUCCCUAAGCUGUGUUUUUCUCAUCGGGAAAGGAGAUAAUAGCAACUUCCUCAUAAUCUGCUGGGAGUUAUGGAAUAUGUGCCAAGCAUCUGACACCAGGAUUUGUCAUCUAUAACAAGUUUCUGGGUGAUGUCAAUGCUGCUGCGCUGAGGACCCCACUUGAAGACCCGCUGGAUAAGGCCACUCACAGUGGAUGCUCUCUGACAACACAGUCAGCAGCUCCAGGACAGAGUGUUCCAAGUCCACCUGAGCCUGGGCCACGCCAGUUCCUGGGCCUGCUUAGGUUGAAGGGAUUUUUUUUUUUGUGGUUUGAAUAAACUAAUUUUUGGCUAAAAGCACUGAUACAAUUUGUUUUUCACGGAGAGCAAAGAGAAGAUAGGCUCCAAGUAACAACUUCCAAUUAAUCUAUCAGUCUGAAAGUUUACAUUAUUAAUAGGCUUAUCAUUUUGAUUUAACAAAUGGUAUAGACAUCCUCAGACAUGCAGAAAAAACAGUGCUUGCUGUCCAUCAUUCUUUUCAUCAAGAAGGUGCAACUCACUGGAUACCAGUGAGAUAAUUUAUGUAAAAUUGUUUAACACAAUGUCUUUCAAAGAACAAAUUAUAAUAAUUUAUGUUAUUGUGUUUACUGAACAAAUGUUCAUUGAGCCCUUAUAAAGUGACAGAAUGCUUGAUGUCAGGUUUUCUCCACUUCAACAAUGAUUGACAUGUUGGGUUGGGUAAUUCUUUGUUGUGGGAGAUCUCCUUUGCAUUGUAGGAUGUUUGGCAGCAUACCUGGCCUCUCCCAGUUAAUGCCAGUAGCACCCCCAGUGUGACAAUAAAAAAUGUCUCCUGACAUUGCUAAACGUCCCCUGGGGAAAAAUUGCUGUUGGUUGAGAACUACUGAUUUACAUGAAGAGUCUUAUUUCAUCUUUGCAACACCCAACAAAAUUAGCUGUUAUUUGUUUAUUUUAGAGAUGGGAGAAAAGAGGAUCAGAGAGUUGAGCAAUUUGCUGAAAGCCACACAGGUAGUAAAGAAGCAGGAGUGGAGUUUGAACCCAGGACUGACAAUCCAGAGCCUCAGUCUCGACCACUAUUUUUGCUUCUUAAGAGUAUACAUUUAAGAAUGUAUAGAAGAGGCUAGGUGCGGUGGCUCACGCCUGUAAUC
rnacentral:lncRNA from 1 species